UACAGAGGGGGCAAGCGUUGUUCGGAAUCACUGGGCUUAAAGGGCGCGUAGGCGGGCUGCCGCGUCCGGGGUGAAAUCCCACGGCUCAACCGUGGAACGGCCCCGGGUACGGGCGGCCUCGAGGGGGGUAGGGGCGUGCGGAACUGUGGGUGGAGCGGUGAAAUGCGUUGAUAUCCACAGGAACUCCGGUGGCGAAGGCGGCACGCUGGACCCCUUCUGACGCUGAGGCGCGAAAGCCAGGGGAGCGAACGGG
rnacentral:rRNA from 1 species